rnacentral:lncRNA from 1 species
UCAGUUAAUGACCUAAUUAUGCAAGUGAUAUCCCAUCAUAUUUGCAGGUUCUGCCUACAUUCAAGGGGAGAGAAUUAUAUAGGGUGUAUACACUAGGGGCUAAGACUCUUGGGGGCCAUGUUAGAAUCCUGCCUACCACAAGCAUUUAUAUCUAUCUAAGAAGUAGUCACUUCAAUUACCUUCCCUUUUCCCAUAGUUCUUCUUUAGACAUGAUUAUACUCUAUUAAAUAUUUUUUCAAAACCUUUCAAAAAUUUUAGUCAACUUUAUAGAAAGAUAGAUUCAAGGCAUGUGCUGAUUUAUUUCCACCCAGUGUACUUCAACAUGUUAACUGAGUUUUUAAAAUGUAAGCUUUUCGCUGGGUUUUUAAUGCAUUGAAGAUCCCUAAAGUUAACAUAGCUUUCUCUCAGCUCUUUGCAUAAUAUCCAUGAGAGUCCUAGUUUCCAAAGUUAUAUAAUAGAAGAAGUCAAUAUAAAAAGUAAUAAUUUACAUAGCACUUUACUGUUUAUCAAUCAAACACUUUCAACCAUGUUGUAUUAUUUUAUCUUCAUAAUGGUAACAUGGAAUUGGCAUUAUAAUUUAAGGAUAAGAAAAUCAGACUCAAAGAGAUGAACUGACUUUUCCAAUAUUGUUCCAGGUAGUAAAUGAUGAUGAGAUCCAAUAACCUAACUCUGGUUUCUACUUCCAAGUCCAGUGGUCCAGGUUCAGCAUGACCUAUCAUCCGUAGCAAUAGACUAGAAGGAUUGCAUCAUUAGAUUUCAUGCCUAGAAUAGUUAAUGUAACUGUUACAGGUGCCCCAAACUAAGGGAAGCUUAAACACUAAGAGAAUAUGGCCCAGAAAGAAGAGAAAAUUACAAAGCAUGGUGAUAACCUACGAUGAGUGUUAUGAAAAGGUAAUGAUGUAGCUGACACACAGAUCGAUAGUUUAAAAGCUUUGGCAAGCCACAUAGUUAGGAAGGGCUAUAAAAGACCGAAUAAAAAGGUGAUUAUUAUACACACUGGGAAAAAUGCUGUUGUGAUAUAAUGUAUCCCAAAAGAGUUUCUAGAAAAAUAUAGUUUUCAUUUAUCUUAGAGAAGGUAAUGGAGUGGUAUUA